rnacentral:rRNA from 1 species
UUUUGAUCAUGGCUCAGGAACGAAACGCUGGGCGGCGUGCGUAUACAUGCAAGUCGAGCGGACCGACGGGAGCUUGCUCCCUUAGGUCAGCGGCGGACGGGUGAGUAACACGUGGGUAACCUGCCUGUAAGACUGGGAUAACUCCGGGAAACCGGGGCUAAUACCGGAUGCUUGAUUGAACCGCAUGGUUCAAUCAUAAAAGGUGGCUUUCAGCUACCACUUGCAGAUGGACCCGCGGCGCAUUAGCUAGUUGGUGAGGUAACGGCUCACCAAGGCGACGAUGCGUAGCCGACCUGAGAGGGUGAUCGGCCACACUGGGACUGAGACACGGCCCAGACUCCUACGGGAGGCAGCAGUAGGGAAUCUUCCGCAAUGGACGAAAGUCUGACGGAGCAACGCCGCGUGAGUGAUGAAGGUUUUCGGAUCGUAAAACUCUGUUGUUAGGGAAGAACAAGUACCGUUCGAAUAGGGCGGCACCUUGACGGUACCUAACCAGAAAGCCACGGCUAACUACGUGCCAGCAGCCGCGGUAAUACGUAGGUGGCAAGCGUUGUCCGGAAUUAUUGGGCGUAAAGCGCGCGCAGGCGGUUUCUUAAGUCUGAUGUGAAAGCCCCCGGCUCAACCGGGGAGGGUCAUUGGAAACUGGGGAACUUGAGUGCAGAAGAGGAGAGUGGAAUUCCACGUGUAGCGGUGAAAUGCGUAGAGAUGUGGAGGAACACCAGUGGCGAAGGCGACUCUCUGGUCUGUAACUGACGCUGAGGCGCGAAAGCGUGGGGAGCGAACAGGAUUAGAUACCCUGGUAGUCCACGCCGUAAACGAUGAGUGCUAAGUGUUAGAGGGUUUCCGCCCUUUAGUGCUGCAGCAAACGCAUUAAGCACUCCGCCUGGGGAGUACGGUCGCAAGACUGAAACUCAAAGGAAUUGACGGGGGCCCGCACAAGCGGUGGAGCAUGUGGUUUAAUUCGAAGCAACGCGAAGAACCUUACCAGGUCUUGACAUCCUCUGACAACCCUAGAGAUAGGGCUUCCCCUUCGGGGGCAGAGUGACAGGUGGUGCAUGGUUGUCGUCAGCUCGUGUCGUGAGAUGUUGGGUUAAGUCCCGCAACGAGCGCAACCCUUGAUCUUAGUUGCCAGCAUUCAGUUGGGCACUCUAAGGUGACUGCCGGUGACAAACCGGAGGAAGGUGGGGAUGACGUCAAAUCAUCAUGCCCCUUAUGACCUGGGCUACACACGUGCUACAAUG